UCCCUGGAGGACUAGUGAUUAGGCCACGGUGCUCUCCCCGCAACGGCCCGGGUUCGAUUCCCAGACAGGGAA